UACGUAGGGUGCAAGCGUUAAUCGGAAUUACUGGGCGUAAAGCGUGCGCAGGCGGUUAUGCAAGACAGAUGUGAAAUCCCCGGGCUCAACCUGGGAACUGCAUUUGUGACUGCAUAGCUGGAGUACGGCAGAGGGGGAUGGAAUUCCGCGUGUAGCAGUGAAAUGCGUAGAUAUGCGGAGGAACACCGAUGGCGAAGGCAAUCCCCUGGGCCUGCACUGACGCUCAUGCACGAAAGCGUGGGGAGCAAACAGG
rnacentral:rRNA from 1 species